UUACUCGCUUCGGCAGCACAUAUACUAAAAUUGGAACGAUACAGAGAAGAUUAGCAUGGCCCCUGCGCAAGGUGUUGGAAAUAUUUCUUAGUAAUUUUAUCUAGUAUU
ensembl:snRNA U6 U6 spliceosomal RNA